GAUGAAGAACGUAGCGAAAUGCGAUACGUAAUGUGAAUUGCAGAAUUCAGUGAAUCAUCGAAUCUUUGAACGCACAUUGCGCCCGCCAGCACUCUGGCGGGCAUGCCUGUUCGAGCGUCAUUUCAACCAUCAAGCCCCAGGCUUGCGUUGGAGCCCUCGGCUGCCGCAGCCUCCUAAAAGCAGUGGCGGGCUCGCUAUCACACCGAGUGCAGUAGAUUACUCUUCGCUCAGGGCGUGCAGCGGGUUCCGGCCGUGAAACCCCCUACUUUUAAAGGUUGACCUCGGAUCAGGUAGGAAUACCCGCUGAACUUAAGCAUAUCAAUAAGCGGAGGA
rnacentral:misc_RNA from 1 species